rnacentral:rRNA from 12 species
UGUAACAGUCAUACCAUCCUUCGAGUGUCCGAUUUAGUCCAAUCUUGGAAACUAAGCAGGGCCGGACCUGGUUGGUUACUUCAAUGGGAGACCAGCUUGGAAGACCAGGGGCUGUUAGUU